UGAUAAGUGUUUUAUGGCACUUUUUAAAUCCAUAUCCACCUUGUGUGCAAUGUCAGUCGAUCUUCUUCAUGGAGAUCGACCAAACAUCAACCUUUAUUUUUUAACUCUUUGUCUGAAAAAUAUUAUGAAUAAACAAUUCAAAAUA
rnacentral:misc_RNA from 1 species